AUAGAAAAUUAUUCUCGGAGUGCCGAUUCAAAGUCAUCUAACGCUUGACGCAAAUUUCCAACUUCCUUUUAUCAUCGUCACCCGAUCGUCCGAUAGACACAUAUUGAUGAUAAUAGAGUGGUCUCUCUCAUGCACACUCCCCGACCUUACAUACGAUUAAAACUGAGAUGUAUUCAUAUCCACUUCAUUGUGGUUCGAACAAAGCCUUCGAACGGUUCGCGAUCAAGUGCCGGUGAACAGAGGCACUAAACGUGUCGAGUGCGGUUAGACAAAUUCCAAGCGAGAAACAAAUCCAAGCACACGCUACAUGAACUUAGACGGUGCAUGAAAACAGGUGCAAUGAAAAUCACGUGUGCGUCAACACUCACACGAUCCUAACCAUUUCGAUGUUCAUUGGGCAUAAAACGAAGUGAUACCUCGUGGCAAGACAGUGAACAGUUUCUUUCAUGUGCAUCAGAUCAAGAUAGUGACGUGAAGCAAACACAAGGCUCAAAUCAGAGCCUUUUAUGUUAGCCCGCUUCUGUUAAACCUGCGCUAGUCCGUUCUAUAGAGGCCAGUGUGCGUGAACCGUGCACCGAGAGACCAAGCUGUGAUCGCUCUGCUCAACAAGCAAAUUGUUCAACACACAAUACGGUACGAAGAUCCAAACACGGCGUAGCUGAAUUAACGCGACAGUCUCCAGGAUCGCAUGCAUCGGAGGCGCGAGACGGCUCGGAACAAAUGCAUCUGAAGUGACAAACGGGAAUGUAGAGUCAUCAGUAGGAAAGGAUCGACACCGACGUGCUACAAACAGCGGUGAUUAAUAAGUGUAGGAACCUGAGGCCGGUGUACAUGAAUCAAUAGAAUGAUAGUUAACAGGAAUGGAUUUUGAUAGUUUUAAGCAGCAUGUCACGCAUUAGUUAAGUAAGCGCAUUGCAUGAUUAGAUAGGUUUUGGUGAGUCUUUAUGAAUUGUUGGAGUUACACCAUUCGCACCAGUGAAGAUAAAUAAACCAUUACAUUGGCGCCCAACGUGGGGCCCGAUAACUGGAAAGAGAGGCAACCUAUCAACAAUAACGAAGACGUCAGCAGAAGUAAAAAUGACAGAGGCUCAGACAUCAUGAUAAUCUGCUGGCAAUGCGAAAAUCCUGGGCACACUUACCCUAGAUGUCCCAAUCCAAAACGAUACCUUUUCUGUUACAGCUGUGGCAAAAAAGGUUGCACCACACGCAAUUG